rnacentral:rRNA from 1 species
GACAGAGGUGCCGAGCGUUAGGCGGAAUCACUGGGCUUAAAGCGUGUGUAGGCGGACCGUUAAGUACCUUGUGAAAUCCCACGGCUCAACCGUGGAACGGCUGGGUAUACUGGCGGUCUUGAGCGGCCUAGGGGCAGAUGGAACAGACGGUGGAGCGGUGAAAUGCGUAGAUAUCGUCUGGAACGCCAAAGGUGAAGACAGUCUGCUGGGGGCCUGCUGACGCUGAGACGAAGAACCGG